UCCGACCUCAGAUCAGACGAGAGUACCCGCUGAAUUUAAGCAUAUCACUAAGCGGAGGAAAAGAAACUUACAAGGAUUCCCCUAGUAACGGCGAAGGGCGAAUU
rnacentral:rRNA from 1 species